rnacentral:rRNA from 1 species
CACGUAGGGCGCAAGCGUUGUCCGGAAUUAUUGGGCGUAAAGAGCUCGUAGGCGGUCUGUUGCGUCCGCUGUGAAAACUCGGGGCUUAACCCCGAGCCUGCAGUGGAUACGGGCAGACUAGAGGUAGGUAGGGGAGAAUGGAAUUCCCGGUGUAGCGGUGAAAUGCGCAGAUAUCGGGAGGAACACCGGUGGCGAAGGCGGUUCUCUGGGCCUUACCUGACGCUGAGGCGCGAAAGCCAGGGAGCAAACGGG